rnacentral:rRNA from 1 species
GAAUGCCUUGGCAUCAGGAGCCGAUGAAGGACGUGAUAAGCUGCGAUAAGCUUCGGGUAGGCGCACAUAGCCUGAGAUCCGAAGAUCUCCGAAUGAGGAAACUCACAUGGGAAACCCCAUGUAUCAUUAAGUGAAUACAUAGCUUAAUGAAGGUAACCCAGGGAACUGAAACAUCUAAGUACCUGGAGGAAGAGAAAGAAAAAUCGAUUUUCUUAGUAGCGGCGAGCGAAAGGGAAAGAGCCCAAACCGGAAACUUGUUUCCGGGGUUGUGGACAUAACAUAAAAGUGGAGGCUAUUGUAACUGAAGAGAACUGGAAAGUUCCACCGUAGAAGGUAAUAGUCCUGUAAGUGAAACGAGAAGACCACGAGUUAUGAUCCAGAGUACCACGAGACACGUGAAACCUUGUGGGAAGCAGGGAGGACCACCUCCCAAGGCUAAAUACUACCUGAUGACCGAUAGUGAAGCAGUACCGUGAGGGAAAGGUGAAAAGAACCCCGGGAGGGGAGUGAAAUAGAACCUGAAACCGUGUGCCUACAACCGCUCAGAGCCCCUUAUGAGGGUGAUGAGGUGCUUUUUGUAGAACGAGCCAACGAGUUACGGUAUGUAGCAAGGUUAAGUACUUAAGGUACGGAGCCGAAGGGAAACCGAGUCUGAAUAGGGCGACUAGUUGCAUGCCGUAGACCCGAAACCGGGUGACCUAUCCAUGGCCAGGUUGAAGCGAGGGUAAAACCUCGUGGAGGACCGAACCACGUUGCUGUUGAAAAAGCAUGGGAUGAGCUGUGGAUAGCGGAGAAAUUCCAAUCGAACCCGGAGAUAGCUGGUUCUCUCCGAAAUAGCUUUAGGGCUAGCGUCGAGUAUGAGUAGUGGAGGUAGAGCACUGAAUGGGCUAGGGGGCAUAGCGCUUACCGAACCUUAUCAAACUCCGAAUGCCACAUACUUUGAGCUCGGCAGUCAGACUACGAAUGAUAAGAUCCGUGGUCAAAAGGGAAACAGCCCAGAUCGUCAGCUAAGGUCCCAAAGUGUAAGUUAAGUGGGAAAGGAUGUGAGAUUUCUAAGACAACUAGGAUGUUGGCUUAGAAGCAGCCAUUCAUUAAAAGAGUGCGUAAUAGCUCACUAGUCGAGAGAUCUUGCGCCGAAAAUGUAACGGGGCUAAACUUACCACCGAAGCUACGGGCUUGAACUUAGUUCAAGCGGUAGGAGAGCGUCGUAACCGGGCUGAAGUCGUACCGUAAGGAGCGGUGGACUGGUUACGAGUGAGAAUGUUGGCAUCAGUAGCGAGAUGUGGGUGAGAAUCCCACAGGCCGAAAACCUAAGGUUUCCUCAGGAAGGUUCGUCCGCUGAGGGUUAGUCGGGACCUAAGCCGAGGCCGAAAGGCGUAGGUGAUGGACAACUGGUUGAUAUUCCAGUACCACUACCAUCGUUAUUAUCGAUGGCGUGACGCAGGAGGAUAGUGUGUGCUAGCUAUUGGAUGCUAGUCUAAGCGUUUAGGCAGUGAGAGUAGGCAAAUCCGCUCUCAUAAUGCUGAGGCGUGAUGGGGAAGGUUCUACGGAACCGAAGUACAUGAUUCCACGCUGCCAAGAAAAGCGUCUAGAGAGAGAAGUAGUGCCCGUACCGCAAACCGACACAGGUAGGUGAGGAGAGAAUCCUAAGGCCGGCGGAAGAAUUACAGUUAAGGAACUCGGCAAAUUGACCCCGUAAGUUCGCGAGAAGGGGUGCCUACGAGAGUAGGCCGCAGAGAAUAGGCCCAAGCAACUGUUUAGCAAAAACACAGGUCUCUGCUAAAGCGUAAGCUGAUGUAUAGGGGCUGACGCCUGCCCGGUGCUGGAAGGUUAAGGGGAACACUUAGCGCAAGCGAAGGUGUGAACUUAAGCCCCAGUAAACGGCGGCCGUAACUAUAACGGUCCUAAGGUAGCGAAAUUCCUUGUCAGGUAAGUUCUGACCCGCACGAAUGGCGUAAUGACUUGGGCACUGUCUCAACUGUAAAUCCGGCGAAGUUGUAGUGCGAGUGAAGAUGCUCGCUACCCGCGAUUGGACGGAAAGACCCCGUAGAGCUUUACUGUAGCUUAGCAUUGAGUUUUGGUAUUGUCUGUACAGGAUAGGUGGGAGACUAGGAAACCAGGGCGUCAGCCUUGGUGGAGUCAACCUUGGGAUACCACCCUGACAGUACUGAAAUUCUAACUGGCGGCCAUGAAUCUGGUCACAGGACAUUGUUAGGUGGGCAGUUUGACUGGGGCGGUCGCCUCCUAAAAAGUAACGGAGGCGCCCAAAGGUUCCCUCAGAACGGUCGGAAAUCGUUCGAAGAGUGCAAAGGCAGAAGGGAGCCUGACUGCGACACCCACAAGUGGAGCAGGGACGAAAGUCGGGCUUAGUGAUCCGGUGGUACCUCGUGGGAGGGCCAUCGCUCAACGGAUAAAAGCUACCUCGGGGAUAACAGGCUGAUCUCCCCCAAGAGUCCACAUCGACGGGGAGGUUUGGCACCUCGAUGUCGGCUCGUCGCAUCCUGGGGCUGAAGUAGGUCCCAAGGGUUGGGCUGUUCGCCCAUUAAAGCGGCACGCGAGCUGGGUUCAGAACGUCGUGAGACAGUUCGGUCCCUAUCCGUCGCGGGCGUAGGAAAUUUGAGAGGAGCUGUCCUUAGUACGAGAGGACCGGGAUGGACUGACCUCUGGUGUACCAGUUGUUCCGCCAGGAGCACAGCUGGGUAGCUAAGUCGGGAAUGGAUAAACGCUGAAAGCAUCUAAGCGUGAAGCCAACCUCAAGAUGAGAUUUCCCAUAGCGUAAGCUAGUAAGAUCCCUUGAAGAACACAAGGUUGAUAGGUCGGGGGUGUAAGCAUGGUAACAUGUUCAGCUGACCGAUACUAAUAGAUCGAGGGCUUGACCAAAU